GUCUCAGUAAGAGCAGAACAUGUACUAAAAUUGGAAGGAUGGAGAUUAGCCUGGCCCCCGCAUGAGAAUGACAUGCAAAUUCGUGAAGUGUUCCGUAUUUGU